rnacentral:tRNA from 1 species
GGCGCGGUGGCAGAAUGGCUUAUGUAGCGGACUGCAAAUCCGCGUAUGCCGGUUCGAUUCCGGCCCGUGCCUCCA